UCUGUGCUUUACUAGAUUAUACUGGACUUUUCAGGUAACAUUAGUUCUGCUUCAUUUUCUAGAGUUGGCAAUGCCAUAGCAAAGCCACAAGUGACUUCACAUUUAUUACCUCUUCAAGUCUAGUUGCCACAUCUGGACAGUCCAAUGACAACAGGAACGUCUGCCUCUGGGACACACUGAUCUCUCCUGGAAACAGCCGUAUUCAUGGCUUCACGUGUCAUGAUCAUGGGGCCACGGUGCUCUAGUAUGCACCCAAACACCAGCUGCUCAUAUCUGGAGGCAGGAAAGGCUGGGUCUGCCUGUUCGACAUCCGCCAGAGGCAGCUGAUGCACACGUUCCAUGCUCAUGACUCAGCCAUAAAGGCCUUGGCCCUGGAUCCCUGCGAGGAAUAUUUUACUACAGGCUCAGCAGUGGGGAACAUAAACGUUUGGAGACUAUCAGGCCAUGGUCUAAUUCAUUCGUUUAAAAACGAACAUGCUAAACAGUCCAUUUUUCGAAACAUUGGAGCUGGAGUCAUGCAGAUUGACAUCACCCAAGGCAAUCGGAUCUUCUCCUGUGGGGCUGAUGGAACACUGAAAACCAGAAUUCUACCCAAUGCUUUUAACUUCCCAACAAGAAUUCUUGACAUCCUAUAGAAUCAAGGAUACAGGUUUUAUUUUUAUAAAUAAACCAAUUAAGAAAACACUAAUGUUAGGCACUUCUCCUUUCUAAGCAGUUGAAACAUUUAAAAUAGUACAGAGAAUCUCUGUAGA